GACAGCAGUAGGGAAUAUUCCACAAUGAGCGAAAGCUGAUGGAGCGACACAGCGUGCACGAUGAAGGUCUUCGGAUUGUAAAGUGCUGUUAUAAGGGAAGAACAUUUGCAAUAGGAAAUGAUUGCAGACUGACGGUACCUUGUCAGAAAGCGAUGGCUAACUAUGUGCCAGCAGCCGCGGUAAUACAUAGGUCGCAAGCGUUAUCCGGAAUUAUUGGGCGUAAAGCGUUCGUAGGCUGUUUGUUAAGUCUGGAGUUAAAUCCCGGGGCUCAACCCCGGCUCGCUUUGGAUACUAGCAAACUAGAGUUAGAUAGAGGUAAGCGGAAUUCCAUGUGAAGCGGUGAAAUGCGUAGAUAUAUGGAAGAACACCAAAGGCGAAGGCAGCUUACUGGGUCUAUACUGACGCUGAGGGACGAAAGCGUGGGGAGCAAACAGGAUUAGAUACCCUGGUAGUCCACGCCGUAAACGAUGAUCAUUAGUCGGUGGAGAAUCACUGACGCAGCUAACGCAUUAAAUGAUCCGCCUGAGUAGUAUGCUCGCAAGAGUGAAACUUAAAGGAAUUGACGGGGACCCGCACAAGCGGUGGAGCAUGUGGUUUAAUUUGAAGAUACACGGAAAACCUUACCCACUCUUGACAUCCUUCGCAAAGCUAUAGAGAUAUAGUGGAGGUUAACAGAUG
rnacentral:rRNA from 1 species